rnacentral:rRNA from 1 species
UGGCGGCGCGCUUAAUACAUGCAAGUCGAACGAGAAGCCAGAGCUUGCUCUGGUGGAAAGUGGCGAACGGGUGAGUAACACGUGAAGAAACCUGCCCCAAAGAUUGGGAUAAGCCUUGGAAACGAGGUCUAAUACCAAAUACCUUCCUUUUAACACAUGUUAAAAAGAAGAAAUGCUCCGGCGCUUUGGGAUGGUCUCGCGAUCUAUCAGCUUGUUGGUGAGGUAACGGCUCACCAAGGCAUCGACGGAUAGCUGGUCUGAGAGGAUGUCCAGCCACAUUGGAACUGAGACACGGUCCAAACUCCUACGGGAGGCAGCAGUAGGGAAUCUUGCACAAUGAGGGAAACCUUGAUGCAGCGACGCCGCGUGCGGGACGAAGGCCCUAGGGUUGUAAACCGCUUUCAGUAGGGACGAAAGUGACGGUACCUACAGAAGAAGCCCCGGCCAACUAUGUG